CCCUGGCUCGCGGAAUAAAGUCCCAGCUCCUGCGGGGGCCUCCCCGGCGGCCCCAGGCCCCCAGACGCGCUUUGCCGAGGGGCAGAUGGGGAAACUGAGGCACAGAGGAGCAACUUGCUGAGAAUUACUCAGCAGGUGUAGGAUUUGAACCCAGGCGCCAUAGACCACUAACCACUGGACACCAAAAAAGCCCCAGGGGAGCCAGACGGUGGGGAAGAACACCGAGGAAUAAAGUAUUUCAGAACCCAGACUUUAUCUGGAGGCAGUGAGGUACCCUUCUUGAGGCAAUGGAUCAUGAUUUGCUUGGGCCAAUCAUGGCAAUCCUAUUCCAGCUUUCUCAGCCUCCUUUGUCCUGGCUGUGACCACAGAACAUCUUGCCUCCAUGAGAGAAGGCCAAGACAACUGCAUUGUGGGAGCACUGACAUCUGUGAACAACUGGGCUCCAGCAACAGCCAGUAUCUGGAAUUCUUGUAAGGUGAAGACAGAGGGAUAGCCAACAACCCUGAGCCAAGCUCUGUGGACAAAGUCAGGAGACUGUGUCAGAGAGGCUAAGAGUAGAUCCUUUCCGCUACCACCCUUGGGGCAGAAUGAUAUCCAGUCAUGCCCCAGGUAAGGCAGUCUCCAUAAACAGGAGACUGUUUAGAGAAAGAACGAUGAUGAUGGUGAUGGUG